GUGCCAGCCGCCGCGGUAAUACGGAGGUCCCAAGCGUUGUUCGGAAUUACUGGGCGUAAAGGGAGCGCAGGCGGACAGGUCAGUCUAAAGUGGAAAUCCGGGGCUCAACCUCGGACUUGCUUCGGAUACUGCCUGUCUUGAGUUCGUGAGAGGAAGAUGGAAUUCAGGGUGUAGCGGUGAAAUGCUCAGAUAUCCUGAGGAACACCGGUGGCGAAAGCGGUCUUCUGGCGCGAAACUGACGCUGAGGCUCGAAAGCGUGGGGAGCAAACGGGAUUAGAUACCCGCGUAGUCC
rnacentral:rRNA from 1 species